AGUGAACGCUGGCGGCAGGCCUAACACAUGCAAGUCGAACGGCAGCACAGAGGAGCUUGCUCCUUGGGUGGCGAGUGGCGGACGGGUGAGGAAUGCGUCGGAAUCUGCCUAUUUGUGGGGGAUAGCGUAGGGAAACUUACGCUAAUACCGCAUACGACCUACGGGUGAAAGUGGGGGACCUUCGGGCCUCACGCAGAUAGAUGAGCCGACGCCGGAUUAGCUAGUUGGCGGGGUAAAGGCCCACCAAGGCGACGAUCCGUAGCUGGUCUGAGAGGAUGAUCAGCCCGACUGGGACUGAGACACGGCCAAGAAUCCUACGGGAGGCAGCAGUGGGGAAUAUUGGACAAUGGGCGCAAGCCUGAUCCAGCCAUGCCGCGUGUGUGAAGAAGGCCUUCGGGUUGUAAAGCACUUUUGUCCGGAAAGAAAUCCAAUCGAUUAAUACUCGGUUGGGAUGACGGUACCGGAAGAAUAAGCACCGGCUAACUUCGUGCCAGCCGCCGCAGUAAAAC
rnacentral:rRNA from 1 species